UCGAACGAGAAAGUCCCCUUCUGGGGGAUAAGUAAAGUGGCGCACGGGUGAGUAACACGUAGGUAAUCUACCUUCGGGUGGGGAAUAACCCAGGGAAACUUGGGCUAACACCGCAUAAUGCAGCGGCACCACAUGGUGACAGUUGUUAAAGCGGGGGAUUUUCGGACCUCGCGCCUGAAGAGGAGCCUGCGGCGGAUUAGCUAGUUGGUAAGGUAACGGCUUACCAAGGCGACGAUCCGUAGCCGGCCUGAGAGGGCGGUCGGCCACACUGACACUGACAUACGGGUCAGACUCCUACGGGAGGCAGCAGUCGGGAAUUUUGGGCAAUGGGCGAAAGCCUGACCCAGCAACGCCGCGUGAAGGAUGAAAUCCCUCGGGAUGUAAACUUCGCAAGAAUGGGAAGAAUUAGCGAGCGCUAAUACCGCUCGUGAUGACGGUACCAUUUGUAAGCUCCGGCUAACUCCGUGCCAGCAGCCGCGGUAAUACGGGGGGAGCAAGCGUUGUUCGGAUUUACUGGGCGUAAAGGGCGCGUAGGCGGUCAGCACAAGUCAGUUGUGAAAUCUCCGGGCUUAACUCGGAAAGGUCAACUGAUACUGUGCGACUAGAGUGCGGAAGGGGCAACUGGAAUUCUCGGUGUAGCGGUGAAAUGCGUAGAUAUCGAGAGGAACACCUGCGGCGAAAGCGGGUUGCUGGGCCGACACUGACGCUGAUGCGCGAAAGC
rnacentral:rRNA from 1 species